GUCCUGCGCGGUCGGCGUGCUUGUCGUUGUUGUCGUUGACGACAAAGACGAGGGUUUCGUCCCGCGCGAUCCGUUCGAGGCGCGUGCAGAUCCC